rnacentral:rRNA from 1 species
GUUGAACGCUGGCGGAAUGCUUUACACAUGCAAGUCGAGCGGCAGCGCGGGGGCAACCCUGGCGGCGAGCGGCGAACGGGUGAGUAAUACAUCGGAACGUGUCCUUGAGUGGGGGAUAGCUCGGCGAAAGCCGGAUUAAUACCGCAUAAGCUCUGAGGAGGAAAGCGGGGGACUGGUAACGGCCUCGCGCUGUUGGAGCGGCCGAUGUCGGAUUAGCUAGUUGGUGGGGUAAAGGCCCACCAAGGCGACGAUCCGUAGCUGGUCUGAGAGGAUGAUCAGCCACACUGGAACUGAGACACGGUCCAGACUCCUACGGGAGGCAGCAGUGGGGAAUUUUGGACAAUGGGGGCAACCCUGAUCCAGCCAUUCCGCGUGAGUGAAGAAGGCCUGGUUGUAAG